CUAGAAUACUGUAAAUGUGUUAUCCGGUUUGUUCAUGUUGAAUUUUGCCUUUGUUAAUAGUUUCUUUAGCUUAUGUGGUUGCCUUUUGUUUAAGAUAACUGCUUGAUUAGUUAUGAUUUAUAAUAUUUCAC